rnacentral:lncRNA from 1 species
UAGGGCUAGAAAAGGAGAACUGCUGCCCUUCUUGGGCAGAGCUUAGGUCAUUUGGGAUGUUAAGGUUGUUUUCGUUGUGAUUAGCCAUCGUGGAUCUCAGUGGGUUUUGUUAAGAGUGGAACUCCGGUGAUGAAAAGAUCUCCUUCGUUUCCCACAGACGGCGCCAAUUGAUGAUCUGAGAUCCAAAGAAAUAGGGUUGUUACAAUGGGCUCUGUAAAACUUAGAAAAAGC